rnacentral:rRNA from 1 species
GGGGAAUAUUGCACAAUGGGGGAAACCCUGAUGCAGCGACGCCGCGUGGAGGAAGAAGGUCUUCGGAUUGUAAACUCCUGUUGUUGGGGAAGAUAAUGACGGUACCCAACAAGGAAGUGACGGCUAACUACGUGCCAGCAGCCGCGGUAAAACGUAGGUCACAAGCGUUGUCCGGAAUUACUGGGUGUAAAGGGAGCGCAGGCGGGAAGACAAGUUGGAAGUGAAAUCUAUGGGCUCAACCCAUAAACUGCUUUCAAAACUGUUUUUCUUGAGUAGUGCAGAGGUAGGCGGAAUUCCCGGUGUAGCGGUGGAAUGCGUAGAUAUCGGGAGGAACACCAGUGGCGAAGGCGGCCUACUGGGCACCAACUGACGCUGAGGCUCGAAAGUGUGGGUAGCAAACAGGAUUAGAUACCCUGGUAGUCCACACCGUAAACGAUGAUUACUAGGUGUUGGAGGAUUGACCCCUUCAGUGCCGCAGUUAACACAAUAAGUAAUCCACCUGGGGAGUACGACCGCAAGGUUGAAACUCAAAGGAAUUGACGGGGGCCCGCACAAGCAGUGGAGUAUGUGGUUUAAUUCGACGCAACGCGAAGAACCUUACCAAGUCUUGACAUCCCUUGACAGACAUAGAAAUAUGUAUUCUCUUCGGAGCAAGGAGACAGGUGGUGCAUGGUUGUCGUCAGCUCGUGUCGUGAGAUGUUGGGUUAAGUCCCGCAACGAGCGCAACCCUUAUGGUCAGUUACUACGCAAGAGGACUCUGGCCAGACUGCCGUUGACAAAACGGAGGAAGGUGGGGAUGACGUCAAAUCAUCAUGCCCUUUAUGACUUGGGCUACACACGUACUACAAUGGCGUUAAACAAAGAGAAGCAAGACCGCGAGGUGGAGCAAAACUCAGAAACAACGUCCCAGUUCGGACUGCAGGCUGCAACUCGCCUGCACGAAGUCGGAAUUGCUAGUAAUCGUGGAUCAGCAUGCCACGGUGAAUACGUUCCCG